AUUUUAAUUUGGAGUGAGAAAUUUGAAUUUGGAGUGAGGAAUUUGAAUUUGGAGUGAGGAUUUUGAAUUUGGAGUGAGGAAUUUGAAUUUGAAGUGAGGAAUUUGAAUUUGAAGUUAUGAAAUUUAAGUUGAUAUCUGAUUUAUUAUUGAGUCUAUUGACGUUGCACUUGUGGGCCACCGUAACUCGAUACCAUUGAACUCGAUACACGCUAUGCAUUCUGCAAUAAAACAAAGGUAU